UACGAAGGGAGCUAGCGUUGUUCGGAAUCACUGGGCGUAAAGCGCACGUAGGCGGAUUUGUCAGUCAGGGGUGAAAUCCCGGGGCUCAACCUCGGAACUGCCUUUGAUACAGCAAGUCUUGAGUUCGAGAGAGGUGGGUGGAAUUCCUAGUGUAGAGGUGAAAUUCGUAGAUAUUAGGAAGAACACCGGUGGCGAAGGCGGCCCACUGGCUCGAUACUGACGCUGAGGCACGAAAGCGUGGGGAGCAAACAGG
rnacentral:rRNA from 1 species